AAUGAACGCUGGCGGCAUGCCUAACACAUGCAAGUCGAACGGCAGCACGGGUGCUUGCACCUGGUGGCGAGUGGCGGACGGGUGAGUAAUACAUCGGAACAUGUCCUCUAGCGGGGGGUGGCCCGACGAACGCCGGAUUAAUACCGCCUACGGUCUACGCGUGAAAGCGGGGGACCUUCGGGCCUCGCCCUGUUGGUUUGGCAGAAGCCUGAUUAGCUAGUGGGGGGGGUAUAGGCCUACCAAGGCGACGACCAGUAUCUGGUCGGAGAGCGACACCAGCCACACUGGGAGUGAGACACGGCCCAGACUCCUACGGUGGGCAGCGGUGGGGAAUUUUGCAGAAUGGGGGAAAGCCUGAUACAGGACUGCCGGGUGUGUGAUGAAGGCGUUCGGGUGGUAAAGCACUGUUGGCCGGAAAGAAGUAAUUGGCCCUAAUACGGGAGGGGGAUGACGGUACCGGAAGAAUAAGCACCGGCUAACUACGUG
rnacentral:rRNA from 1 species